GUCUCGGUGGCACAGCAGGAUAGCGCGGCCCCCUCCUAAGGGGCAGGUCAGGGGUUCGAAUCCCUUCCGGGACACCA
rnacentral:tRNA from 1 species